rnacentral:rRNA from 1 species
UACGAAGGGGGCGAGCGUUGUUCGGAAUUACUGGGCGUAAAGGGCGCGUAGGCGGUUUGUCGCGUCUGCUGUGAAAACUCGGGGCUUAACCCCGGGCCUGCAGUGGGUACGGGCAGACUAGAGUGCGGUAGGGGAGACUGGAAUUCCUGGUGUAGCGGUGAAAUGCGCAGAUAUCAGGAGGAACACCGGUGGCGAAGGCGGGUCUCUGGGCCGUAACUGACGCUGAGGAGCGAAAGCGUGGGGAGCGAACAGG